rnacentral:rRNA from 1 species
UAGUAAUAGCUAUGUUCUUAAAACCUAAAGAAUUUGGCGGUGUUUUAGUUUAUUUAGAGGAAUUUGCCUUAUUAUCGAUAGUCCUCGUUUUAUCUUUCUUAUAUUUGUAUUCAGUAUGUAUACCGCCGUUAUAAGUUUAUUUUUUUAGGACUAAUAUUUACUUUAAUAUAUUUUUAUUUAUUUCAGGUCAAGGUGCAGUUUAUAUAUAAGUAUUGGUGAAUUACAUUAUAUUUUUAAUAUACGGAUUUGAUCUUGAAAUUAAAGUUCAUUAAAGGUGGAUUUAAUAGUAAUUAUAUUAAUAAAGUUAUUUUGAUUUUAACUCUAGAAUAAGUACACAUCGCCC